AUUGAACGCUGGCGGCAGGCCUAACACAUGCAAGUCGAGCGAGCGGCGGACGGGUGAGUAAUGUAUGGGGAUCUGCCUGAUGGAGGGGGAUAACUACUGGAAACGGUAGCUAAUACCGCAUACCAUCAGAUGGACCCAGAUGGGAUUAGCUUGUAGGUAAGGUAACGGCUUACCUAGGCGACGAUCCCUAGCUGGUCUGAGAGGAUGAUCCGCCAAACUGGGACUGAGACACGGCCCAGACUCCUACGGGAGGCAGCAGUGGGGAAUAUUGGGCAAUGGGCGCAAGCCUGAUGGAGCCAUGCCGCGUGAAUGAAGAAGGCCUUCGGAUUGUAAAGUACUGUCAGUCGGGAGGCGUUACCGACAGAAAAAGCACCGGCUAACUCCGUGCCAGCAGCCGCGGUAAUAC
rnacentral:rRNA from 1 species